rnacentral:tRNA from 1 species
AGCUUUAUGGUCAAAGCAUUGGUGCGUAAAGCCAAAGGUCCCGGGUUCGAUUCCCGG